rnacentral:rRNA from 1 species
GGAGGGAGCGAGCGUUGUUCGGAAUCACUGGGCGUAAAGGGCGCGUAGGCGGCCGAGUAAGUCGUGUGUGAAGGGACCGGGGCUCAACUCCGUGUACUGCAUGCGAUACUGCCCGGCUAGAGAAAGGUAGAGGCGAGUGGAAUUCCCGGUGUAGCGGUGGAAUGCGUAGAUAUCGGGAAGAACACCUGUGGCGAAGGCGGCUCGCUGGGCCUUUUCUGACGCUGAAGUGCGAAAGCGUGGGGAGCAAACAGGAUUAGAUACCCUGGUAGUCCACGCCGUAAACGAUGGGCACUAGGCGUUGGGAGGAUUGACCCUCUCAGUGCCGUAGCUAACGCGUUAAGUGCCCCCGCCUGGGGAUACGGCCGCAAGGCUG